AUUGAACGCUGGCGGCAGGCCUAACACAUGCAAGUCGAGCGGAUGAAGGGAGCUUGCUCCUGGAUUCAGCGGCGGACGGGUGAGUAAUGCCUAGGAAUCUGCCUGGUAGUGGGGGAUAACGUCCGGAAACGGGCGCUAAUACCGCAUACGUCCUGAGGGAGAAAGUGGGGGAUCUUCGGACCUCACGCUAUCAGAUGAUCCUAGGUCGGAUUAGCUAGUUGGUGGGGUAAAGGCCUACCAAGGCGACGAUCCGUAACUGGUCUGAGAGGAUGAUCAGUCACACUGGAACUGAGACACAGUCCAGACUCAUACGGGAGGCAGCAGUGGGGAAUAUUGGACAAUGGGCGAAAGCCUGAUCCAGCCAAGCCGCGUGGGUGAAGAAGGUCUUCGGAUUGUAAAGCACUUUAAGUUGGGAGGAAGGGCAGUAAGUUAAUACCUUGCUGUUUUGACGUUACCAACAGAAUAAGCACCGGCUAACUUCGUG
rnacentral:rRNA from 1 species